GUUUCCCUGGAUACCAGAAUAUAUGCGCUUGCUGGCACUGGAGCUCUGUUUCUGCUGGUAUUGGCGAUCAUAGGACGCAUCUUCCACGUCAGAGCCAAGAGGAAAGUGACCAAAGAAAACACAGUGUAUGCUGAAGCCAACAAGCCGCAUGUCAGAGAGAGGAGGACGCGGGACAUGCGCUCUAGACAGGCUUCACCAUCUGAAGAUGUUUCCACCAUCUAUGAAGAUGUGAGAAGCACACGUCGUUAAAAUAGCCAAUGAUUUUGAGCAUUGUCUUUGCAUUGCUAUUUUAGGCAGUGCAUUGUCACUGUGCUUUUGACCAACAAAAACCAUGUCCAAAGUUAUGGAGGACUAGACAUGACAUAAUUAAAAAUAAAUAAAUGUGUGAAUAAAUAAGUAAAUACUGAAAUAAAUAAAUACAUAAAUACAGUUUGGCCAUGAAAACUGCUAAAUGGAUUCCUAUAUUUGUUUAUUAACGUAUUUAAAUAUUUAUGAAUUUCCACAUUUCGUCAUUUAUUUAUUUAUGUAUUUCCACAUUUCUACAUUUAUUUAUUACUGUAUUUCCACAUUUCUACAUUUAUUUA